rnacentral:rRNA from 1 species
UACGGGGGGAGCAAGCGUUGUUCGGAUUUACUGGGCGUAAAGGGCGCGUAGGCGGCGUGACAAGUCACUUGUGAAAUCUCCGGGCUUAACUCGGAACGGUCAAGUGAUACUGUCGUGCUAGAGUACAGAAGGGGCAACUGGAAUUCUCGGUGUAGCGGUGAAAUGCGUAGAUAUACGGAGGAAUACCUGAGGCGAAGGCGGGUUGCUGGGCCAACACUGACGCUGAGGCGCGAAAGCCAGGGGAGCAAACGGG